UAGGCCUACGGGGGGCAGCAGUGGGGAAUAUUGCGCAAUGGGGGAAACCCUGAUGCAGCAACGCCGCGUGAGGGAAGACGGUUUUCGGAUUGUAAACCUCUGUCCUCUGUGAAGAUAAUGACGGUAGCAGAGGAGGAAGCUCCGGCUAACUACGUGCCAGCAGCCGCGGUAAUACGUAGGGAGCAAGCGUUGUCCGGAUUUACUGGGUGUAAAGGGUGCGUAGGCGGCCUUGCAAGUCAGAAGUGAAAUCCAUGGGCUUAACCCGUGAACUGCUUUUGGAACUGUAGGGCUUGAGUGAAGUAGAG
rnacentral:rRNA from 1 species